rnacentral:sRNA from 1 species
GCCAGGCACAGGGGCGCAUGCCUGUAAUCCCAGCGGCUCAGGAGGCUGAGACAGGAGGAUGGCGAGUUCAAAGCCAGCCUCAGCACAAACAAGGCAUUAAGCAACUCAAUGAAACCCUGUCUCUA